ACGGGUGAGUAACACGUAAGGAACCUGCCUCAAGGAUUGGGAUAACUCCGAGAAAUCGGAGCUAAUACCGGAUAGUUCAACGGACCGCAUGGUCCGCUGAUGAAAGGCGCUCCGGCGUCACCUUGAGAUGGCCUUGCGGUGCAUUAGCUAGUUGGUGGGGUAACGGCCCACCAAGGCGACGAUGCAUAGCCGACCUGAGAGGGUGAUCGGCCACACUGGGACUGAGACACGGCCCAGACUCCUACGGGAGGCAGCAGUAGGGAAUCUUCCACAAUGGACGAAAGUCUGAUGGAGCAACGCCGCGUGAGUGAUGAAGGUCUUCGGAUCGUAAAACUCUGUUGUAAGGGAAGAACACGUACGAGAGGGAAUGCUCGUACCUUGACGGUACCUUACGAGAAAGCCACGGCUAACUACGUGCCAGCAGCCGCGGUAAUACGUAGGUGGCAAGCGUUGUCCGGAAUUAUUGGGCGUAAAGCGCGCGCAGGCGGCCUUUUAAGUCUGAUGUGAAAGCCCCCGGCUCAACCGGGGAGGGCCAUUGGAAACUGGAAGGCUUGAGUACAGAAGAGA
rnacentral:rRNA from 1 species